rnacentral:rRNA from 1 species
AGUGAACGCUGGCGGUAGGCCUAACACAUGCAAGUCGAACGGCAGCACAGUAAGAGCUUGCUCUUACGGGUGGCGAGUGGCGGACGGGUGAGGAAUACAUCGGAAUCUACUUUUUCGUGGGGGAUAACGUAGGGAAACUUACGCUAAUACCGCAUACGACCUACGGGUGAAAGCAGGGGAUCUUCGGACCUUGCGCGAUUGAAUGAGCCGAUGUCGGAUUAGCUAGUUGGCGGGGUAAAGGCCCACCAAGGCGACGAUCCGUAGCUGGUCUGAGAGGAUGAUCAGCCACACUGGAACUGAGACACGGUCCGGACCCCUACGGGAGGCAGCAGUGGGGAAUAUUGGACAAUGGGCGCAAGUCUGAUCCAGCCAUACCGCGUGGGUGAAGAAGGCAUUCGGGUUGUAAAGCCCUUUUGUUGGGAAAGAAAAGCAGCAGGUUAAUACCCCGCUGUUCUGACGGUACCCAAAGAAUAAGCACCGGCUAACUUCGUG